UUUUUUCAUGUGUUUUGGAUAAAUGGGCAGAAUCCAUCAUCCUGAUGAUUAAAAGCAGCUGAUGGAUGUGGCAGCCAGGUCAUCUCAAUACCUAGAAUAACAGCCACAAGAAGUCUAGAAAAGCUUUGGAAGAAUCACUGGUUAUCUCAGCCCACAAGAAUGCCUGCUAUCUGACUUCUGCUGCCUCGCAUGGCCCUCCCCACAGACACUUUCAUGUUUGUUGCUUCAUCGAUCAGACAGUAAACAUCCCUGGCACAGGAUCUUUGAUGGAUUGGAUUAAAAGUGCACCUCAGAAAAGAUUGAGACAUGCAGUUAUGACUUAAGAUCCAUAGUUCCUGGAGCUGAUGGUUCCAGACGUUCCAAGCAUGAAGAUUAUUGUUGCCUAGACACAGAGGACACAGUGAGACACUUUCCCCCAACCCCAAGAGGAACUGCUACGUAAAGGAAAUGAUGCUAUUUCAAGAGUUAAACUUUAAGAUAAAAUCAUGGACUAAAGCAGAUAGAAGGAAAUUUCUGAGGCACUCUGUGCUUGGGAAAGAAAGGUAAGAAAAAGGAUAGAGAAACAUACAAUGAAAGGAAGGGAAGAAGGGGAUGCCAGUGUGCCAAACAUUUCCCCAGACAGGAGGGAAAAAUAGUACAUACAUAUAUAAUCACCCAGGAGAGAGAAAAAUGGAAAGUUG
rnacentral:lncRNA from 1 species